rnacentral:rRNA from 1 species
GAUGAACGCUGGCGGCGUGCCUAAUACAUGCAAGUCGAGCGAACGGACGAGAAGCUUGCUUCUCUGAUAUUAGCGGCGGACGGGUGAGUAACACUUGGAUAACCUACCUAUAAGACUGGGAUAACUUCGGGAAACCGUAGCUAAUACCGGAUAAUAUUUUGAACCGCAUGGUUCAAAAGUGAAAGACGGUCUUGCUGUCACUUAUAGAUGGAUCCGCGCUGCAUUAGCUAGUUGGUAAGGUAACGGCUUACCAAGGCAACGAUGCAUAGCCGACCUGAGAGGGUGAUCGGCCACACUGGAACUGAGACACGGUCCAGACUCCUACGGGAGGCAGCAGUAGGGAAUCUUCCGCAAUGGGCGAAAGCCUGACGGAGCAACGCCGCGUGAGUGAUGAAGGUCUUCGGAUCGUAAAACUCUGUUAUUAGGGAAGAACAUAUGUGUAAGUAACUGUGCACAUCUUGACGGUACCUAAUCAGAAAGCCACGGCUAACUACGUG